rnacentral:rRNA from 1 species
UGGGGAAUAUUGCACAAUGGGCGCAAGCCUGAUGCAGCAACGCCGCGUGAGGGACGACGGCCUUCGGGUUGUAAACCUCUUUUAGUAGGGAAGAAGCGAAAGUGACGGUACCUGCAGAAAAAAGCACCGGCUAACUACGUGCCAGCAGCCGCGGUAAUACGUAGGGUGCAAGCGUUGUCCGGAAUUAUUGGGCGUAAGGAGCUCGUAGGCGGUUUGUCGCGUCUGCUGUGAAAACCCGAGGCUCAACCUCGGGCCUGCAGUGGGUACGGGCAGACUAGAGUGCGGUAGGGGAGAAUGGAAUUCCUGGUGUAGCGGUGGAAUGCGCAGAUAUCAGGAGGAACACCGAUGGCGAAGGCAGUUCUCUGGGCCGUAACUGACGCUGAGGAGCGAAAGCGUGGGGAGCGAACAGGAUUAGAUACCCUGGGUAGUCCACGCCGUAAACGUUGGGCGCUAGAUGUGGGGGACCAUUCCACGGUUUCCGUGUCGCAGCUAACGCAUU